UUGUUUAUCUAAUUACUUGUUUAUACACUAAAAGUCUCUGAAAAUCAUGGUGAAAACCUCCGUUCAUCGAUAUUACUGGUUGACUCGGUAGACUCGGCAGCUCUUUUGAGUCCCGGACUUGACUCAGGCCGAAUCUUCCGAGUCUGAACGAGUUUGCACCGGGUCUACCGUCCCCGGGAAAUGGGGGACGGUCGCGGAGCUGAAGCAGAAGUUCCGUGAUGACUCAGCUGAGACUUUGAACCUUGCGUCUUACCGAGGAUAUCUGCAUAGUCCUUGUGCAUUCAUUGUGUGUUUCGUAUCAGUGGCAUUUUCGGUUUCAGCUUUCCUAUUGAAAUUGCUCAUUCACCUCAACAUUGUGCUUUGAACAUGGCCGCAACCUCCUCGUCUCUGGCAUGAGAUUUUGAGUCUUGCCUCAAUAGUUGGGGAAGUUUAUUGUUUGUCGAAAACGAAUUUGUUUCCCUUUAUAAUAUAUUUACUAAGUUUCCGCACUUGUUUAAUGAUAAAAUCAGAAUUUUACUCGUCUUGUUGCAUUAUCUUAAAUGGAAAUGGGUUGAAAAUUUUCUAGAUUCGUCAAGAAGAAUAAUGGACAUUGUUGGAUUUGAAUUUGCAUUAGGCAUUGACUGGUAAAUUUUAGAAUUUAGCUGGAUAAUCUUGAGUGGAAGAAGGGACCAAUAUACUAGACCUUAAAAUGGCUUGUGCAAUCAUUUUAAUUCGUGCUGUUCCUUGAAAACCAACAAUUUUUUUAAUAUGUAAAUCAAGCAGAUGAAGAAGGUUCAAUCACAGAGUGGUUGCUUAAGAUUGUUAUGUAGCAUUGACGGGUGGCCUUACAUAUUUGAGUGGUCUUGAGGUCUGUAGUUUGAUAAUGCGUGGGGGUAACCUCUUUUUUGCUUUUCUUCCCCCCAUCUUUAAAGGUGGUAUAGCUAGUUCAUUUAGGUCUCUAGGAGGUGCUAUCAUUGCAAUGCUCUAUUUAUCUUAGUUCUCAAGCAUAUAAUUCAAACUAAUGCUGUGUUAUUGUAAAGUAGACUUGCCAUGCUUGUGAUGUUACUCUUGAAUUUUGAUCUUCCUUGAUCAUUCUAGUUCACCUAGCUACAAUUUGAUAACAGAGCUGUUCAAAUCACAUUGCUUUUCUCUUCUCAUGCUUGCAUGUGCUGACCAAACUCUGAUCUUCUCAUGCUCGCAUGUACUGACCAAAUAGCAUUACAGAAUCUAAAUGGGAAGAGAUUGACUCCAUAUUUGUUCUCCCUUGUUACAAGCUUCUAUAUCCAGCUUUCCUCACAAUUUUCUUUCUCCCAGUGCUCUGAUUGAGGAGGUGUCUCAAACCAGCAUUCUUUCAUGGAUAGGAAACGGAAAUUGCAAGCAGAAGAAUUAGGCACACCUCCACCAAAGCUUAAAUGGCCAAGUCAAGGCUUUGCUCUAGAGUAUAUUUUUCCCGCUAAUGCUGAGUCAGAUGUAAUAGAUAAAGGGGAGUUAAGUGGAAUAUCAACAGCUGAGGAGUCAGAACAAGAGUCUGCCAAAGAUAGCAACAGUGUUGCUGCUGAUGCUGACUCGAGCAUUUCUGUGUCUAACGAAGCUGAAGUAGGAGCUGGUCAUGGAUAUUUCAAAGAAUAUUCAUCUGACAAGCCUGUCAAUUCUUCUGUUGACUGGGGAGGCGAUUGUUCCAAGCAUGCCUUAAAUUCUUCUGAGAGCAGUUUCAUAACGGAAUCAAGUUCCCAUAUUCUGGAAUCACCAUCUAUUGGCAACAAGCAUGAUUUUCCCCAUCAUGAUAUCGGCCUGAAGUCAUCCCUGAAUUAUGAGGAGCACCUCCUGGAAUUUGGAAGUCAUGGCGAUUGCAGUUGUCCAGAAUGCGGAGCUGGCUUUGAAGAAUACACAGACAAGGAACUUGAAGAAAUGCUUUAUUCUAAUGGGGUGAAUCCCAAUAAUUAUGUUCUUUCUUCUGGAAGAUGGACUCUCAACCAAGAUACUCAGCAAAGCACCAAGAAGUUAACCAUUGAUAAAGAGUUCGAGCAGUACUUUUCCAUGCUUAUGCUGUGACCCAGUUCUUUUGAACACGAGCAUUUUAUGUACAUUAUUUAAUAAUUGAUGUUGUAUGCAUUUACUAACUAGACGAAUGAAGCUUCUCAUUUUAAUCCUUUCUUUUGUCAAUUUUUUUGUCAUUUCAGCUUUUUCUUAGAUUGAUUGAUCAUGUUAACCUUUGUUUCGUGUAUUUGUAGUUUUGUUAUGCCAAAAUAAGGCAAGAAAUGAAAAUCUUGUCAUACAAAGUUUUCAGGCUUUCAGCUAAGAUACGCCACUCCAAGUCUUCAGAAAAGUUUCCUGACUGCUGGGCUUUUAGCUAUGUGAUAGAAGAAGAAUGAACAGAAACUAAUGGCAGGUUUUUCUUUUUAAUCAUUUCGUCUCUUUUCUUCUGUGCAAAUGUUUGUUGAACUCCUCACAAAGGACAUUCCGUAUGGUUCCUUGGGGUUUUAAGAAUUAGAGAAAUAAAGCAUUUUUCAUGUUUGUUUGUGUAAUCUCUGUUUCUUAGCCGUCAAAAGUUUCUUUCUUUUGUCUCUUUUGUCUUGUGCUUCAAUUUUUUUUGAACAUCUGGUCAAGUGGAAAAAAUGGAACAAGGCUUUUUAAUGUGUGCGUCUUCGUGGUUAAAAAGUAAAUAAUUAUUUUGAGCAAGAUACUGGAUGAAUGGUAAAUUGUUAGAUUGGUUGAUGCCAAAUCUGAUGAAUGGGGAGAGGUGUUGCUGGAAUAUCUCAUGUCAGAGUGUUCCUUAGAAAAAUUGACAGAAAGACCUCAGAGCCAUCUCUUCCCAAUCCUUUCCGUAAAAAAAAAAAAUAAAAUUUUCUCCCCCUUUCUGUGCAAAAACAAAUUUCCCCUCUUUGCUGGUGGGUAAAAUACUGGGAGUUGGAAAAACCAGAGGUCUUCCCUCAAAUUCCUUUAUCUGCAACAGCGGGGUAGGGCUCAAUUCUGAGAAGACUGAUCAAUUCCCAUCCAAAAAAUUUUCCAUAGCUCAGCCCCCGCCUACUCGAAGCUUCUGUCUCAAAAUUCCCUUCUGUCUUUAUAUUUCUUUCUUUCUCUCUGAAAAUCACUGGCUUCUCCAUUCUUAUUCUAUGUAUACAUUUUUCUCUUGAUUAAACUUUCUUUUAUUCUCUAAUAAGUUUCGUAUGUUUGCUACAGGUUGAGAGAUAGGGAUUGAUACCAAGUGUGAAUGAUUGGAAAUUCAAAGUAAGAGGCUGUGGGUUGGCUGUAACUGUUUUAGUUAGUUGGUAAUGACUUCAUCAUUUUUUGUCUUUUUGCAGACAGCUAUUACACUUUCUGGACAACUUUUUAUAGCUCAAGUGAGUGAAAUUCCAUCUUGGGGCCUUUUUCUUUUUGUAGAUUUGGAUCGAUAUUGUUUGAUUAAAGCCUGGAAUGUCAUGUUUGCUUUGCUAAGCAUGCUACGUGCAUAACUUAUUCAAUGUUGGGCUUAAAGACUUGGUUGUUAAUAGUUGUAGUAGUUUAAUUUCAAACCACGUGUUCUGUGUAAAGUAAUGUUGAUUAACAAACUUGAUGUUGAUUAACAAACUAAUGUUGACUAUGAAAAUGAGGGAAUAGUGAACUUGAUGAAUCUGCUUUGAAGCCUGGUGUUCUUGGUAAUGUUGAGAUUAGGAAAACUUUAUGACCACCAAUGUUGGACCAAUUUUGGGAUUUAAAAAAAAAAGAAAAAAAAAGAAAAACUGGAGAGUAAAUCAUAGGAACAUCUUUAUUAUUUGCCUUCCCUAAGUUUUGGAUUUCAUAUCAAGGAUUUUCAAUAGUCACACGUAUGGGUGUGGAAUAGAUGUCAAAAGUUUGAUUAAACAAGUAGUUGCAAAAAAUCAAAUAUUCAUGUAAUUCCUGUGAAUAUUAAAUAGGAGCAACUCCUAAAACAAAAUUGAAGACCAAUUUUUAAGAUGAGUAUAUUUGAUUGACUUUCACUUUGCACUUGCUUACUAUUUGCGUUCUUCUAGUUUCUCUCUUUAUCAAUGCCUAUUGUUUGACUGGCUUUUAUCUGUAACAGUGGCUUUUGUGUCUCUGAGUUUUCGCAUUAAAGAACUCACCCCCAAAAUCUCAAAUAUUGCUGACAUUUCUAUCGUGCGUCUUUUAUGAACUUUUAGUUCUUUGGGUAGUUAUUGGCAGUGCUGUUAGGUUGAGCUUAACACUGCAACGUAAUCCAACUUGAUGCUUUGUUCUGCUGAGUUUCUCUAUGCCUCUGGUCCUACUGUAAAACCCGUGUAAAUUGAUUGUAUAAGGUGAUGAUUUGGUUGUAUGGUAGUUUCAUAAGGCUGAGGGUGUAAAAAUGGAAGAAGGUUAGUGAA